GACGAACGCUGGCGGCGUGCUUAACACAUGCAAGUCGAACGAUGAAGCGGAGAAACGCGAACUUCGGUUCAAAUUUCACUUCGGAUUAGUGGCAGACGGGUGAGUAACGCGUGAGCAACCUACCUCUUACAAAGGGAUAGCCUCGGGAAACCGUGAUUAAUACCAUAUGACACAUUCAUAAGGCAUCUUAAGAAUGUUAAAGCUACGGCGGUAAGAGAUGGGCUCGCGUCCCAUUAGCGAGUUGGUGAGGUAACGGCCCACCAAGGCGACGAUGGGUAACCGGCCUAAGAGGGUGAACGGUCACAUUGGAACUGGGACACGGUCCAAACGCCUACGGGAGGCAGCAGUGGGGAAUAUUGCACAGUGGAGGGAACUCUGAUGCAGCGACGCCGCGUGAGCGAUGAAGGAAUUCGUAUCGUAAAGCUCUAUUCUAUGGGAAGAAAAGGACGGUACCAUAGGAGAAAGCCCCGGCUAAAUACGUG
rnacentral:rRNA from 1 species